AGAGUUUGAUCAUGGCUCAGGAUGAACGCUAGCGGCAGGCUUAAUACAUGCAAGUCGAGGGGCAUCAAGGUACACGAAAGUGUAUUGUUGGCGACCGGCGGACGGGUGAGUAAUAGGUAGGUAACCUACCUCAUACUGAGGCAUAGCUGGGAGAAAUUCCAGGUAAUUCCUCAUGAGGUUAUAUGACACAUGUGAUAUAAUCAAAGGUAUCGCAAGGUACUGGUAUGAGAUGGGCUUACUGACCAUUAGCUAGUUGGUGAGAUAAGAGCUCACCAAGGCGAAGAUGGUUAGGGGUUUUGAGAGAGAGAUCCCCCACAUUGGAACUGAGAUACGGUCCAGACUCCUACGGGAGGCAGCAGUAGGGAAUAUUGGGCAAUGGGCGGAAGCCUGACCCAGCCAUGCCGCGUGAAGGAAGACGGCCUUAUGGGUUGUAAACUUCUUUACUAUGCGACUAACUAGAUUUACGAGAUAAUUCUAUAGAAUGUAGCAUAGCAAAAAGCACCGGCUAACUCCGUGCCAGCAGCCGCGGUAAUACGGAGGGUGCGAGCGUUAUUCGGAAUUACUGGGUUUAAAGGGUGCGUAGGCGGCUAAGUAAGUUGUCAUUGAAAGGCUACAGCUCAACUGUAGUAGUGGUGGCGAUACUGCUUAGCUAAGAACAUGGGAGGGGUACUUGGAAUGUGUGGUGUAGCGGUGAAAUGCGUAGAUAUCACACAGAACACCAGAGGCGAAGGCGGAGUACUAGACCAUAGUUGACGCUGAGGCACGAAAGCGUGGGGAUCAAACAGGAUUAGAUACCCUGGGUAGUCCACGCCCUAAACGAUGAUCACUAGAUAUUGGCGACAAACAGUCAGUGUCCAAGCGAAAGUGAUAAGUGAUCCACCUGGGGGACUACGGCCGCAAGGUUAAAACUCAAAUGAAUUGACGG
rnacentral:rRNA from 1 species